GUUGCCGUAUGGUUAGUUCCCAGUCAGGAGGUCUCAAAUUUGCUUGGUUCCUUGUGUAAUGGCAUGUUUGAGUUCGUCACAGUGCCAUCCUGAGCGGAGAUGCCUCUGCACAGUACCAGAGGCAUCGUGGCUGAUUUCACUCAUAUUGACCAGACAAGAACUCUACCAGGGUUAUUCAGUAAACUCUGAAUUUGCACAAAUUUAUUUCAAAUGGGAAAACAGAAG